GAUGAACGCUGGCGGCGUGCCUAAUACAUGCAAGUCGAGCGAACAGACGAGGAGCUUGCUCCUCUGACGUUAGCGGCGGACGGGUGAGUAACACGUGGAUAACCUACCUAUAAGACUGGGAUAACUUCGGGAAACCGGGGCUAAUACCGGAUAAUAUAUUGAACCGCAUGGUUCAAUAGUGAAAGACGGUUUUGCUGUCACUUAUAGAUGGAUCCGCGCCGCAUUAGCUAGUUGGUAAGGUAACGGCUUACCAAGGCAUCGAUGCGUAGCCGACCUGAGAGGGUGAGCGGCCACACUGGAACUGAGACACGGUCCAGACUCCUACGGGAGGCAGCAGUAGGGAAUCUUCCGCAAUGGGCGAAAGCCUGACGGAGCAACGCCGCGUGAGUGAUGAAGGUCUUCGGAUCGUAAAACUCUGUUAUUAGGGAAGAACAAAUGUGUAAGUAACUAUGCACGUCUUGACGGUACCUAAUCAGAAAGCCACGGCUAACUACGUG
rnacentral:rRNA from 1 species